UACGUAGGGCGCAAGCGUUGUUCGGAAUUACUGGGCGUAAAGAGCUCGUAGGCGGCUUGUCACGUCGGAUGUGAAAGCCCGGGGCUUAACCCCGGGUCUGCAUUCGAUACGGGCAGGCUAGAGUUCGGUAGGGGAGAUCGGAAUUCCUGGUGUAGCGGUGAAAUGCGCAGAUAUCCGGAGGAACACCGGUGGCGAAGGCGGAUCUCUGGGCCGAUACUGACGCUGAGGAGCGAAAGCGUGGGGAGCGAACAGG
rnacentral:rRNA from 1 species